CAACCACGGGGAGAGGGGGAGGGAGAGACCCUGUGGAAGAGAGACGGAGACUGCGGCAAAAAGAGGAAAGGAGGGUUACGGGCACCGAGGGGGAGCUGGAGUCAGCCGCAAGGAGAGAGGGAGCGGGGGAGGAAAAGAGGCGGGAGAGAGACCCUAAAAAGCAAGCUAGACUCUCCAGCCGGCCGCUCUGGUGUGGGGAGGGAGCGUCAUCUCAAGGACACUGAAAAAGCUGUUUGCCGUUUUGCUGUUUGCCUCCUUGUCACGACCUCAGCGACGGCAGAUGGAGCCAGUGGAGGGAGAGAGACAGACGGCAAUGCUUGGGUAGCCAGGGCUCCCUGCCGGCCCCACUCCUCCUGCAGACACGAGCACGCACACACACACGCGCGCAAAACACACACGCUGCCCUUCGCCACACGUAGCCAAGUAAAAUACACAAAAAGCAACUGAGAUACCAUUCGCACAUGACCACAUGGAAACACACAAAUGAACAAACGCAUUCAGGCAUAGCCACAUGCCAGUCACACAGAUGGAUAGACAAGAGCCUGGGGUACAAAGCCACAUGGCACAAAGCCACCUGGAUGUAUAUGCCCCUACACACGCACACAGAAAAAAACAUGCAAACUUAAGUACACACCUAUCCAGACAAGUGUGAGUGCACACACACACACACUCACACACUCUACCUGACACGUUAGUGCAUCCCCAUUGGGCCCCAGUUUCUCUCAGCAAAUUCAGAUCACCCAGCCUGACUUCAAAACCUGCCCCCUUCCAUUCCCCUUCAUGCUGGUUCCUGAAUCCAGCUCGUUGCUCCAGGCUAGCAAAGCUGUCCACAGCCUCAUUUGUGGUUUGCUCACCUGCCUCAGCACCAUCAGCCAGAGGGGGCGAGGAACGCGGCUCUGCGGAGGAGCGGAAUCUUCUCAGCAGCGAUCUGCGAAGGGCUCAGCGGCCACAGGAGGGCGGCAGAGAACAGCGCUCCCUACAGAUCCAGACGUCGGCCCUGGAUGCUGUCUGGAAUCCAGGCAAGGCCAGGCUGGGCUGCCCUAGGCCGGGGACGUCUUUAGCUCGAGCAAAAACCCAUGAAUUUCAGAAUUCAGGAAUCCUUGCAUCCCUUCUCAAGCUCUCUAGUCCCUGAAAUGCCAUCGCCCUCCUCAGCCUCCCUUCCAUUUCUCGUUCUCCUAGCACUGGGGCUGCUGGCACAGAAGGACCCUGUGGCUUUUCCUUCAUGGUAUAGCAGAUGACACCCACGCUCCUCCGUGACAUUCCCUAGGGUCCCAGCUGAUAACUGGAGCUAGAACUAGAACCCACGACUUCUUGGUUCUCUGCGCAGGGGUCUUCCCAUUGUGUCAGCUGCAGCUCCUGAAAUAAAACCAUACCCUACAGGCCACAACCA
rnacentral:lncRNA from 1 species